GAUGAAGAACGUAGCAAAAUGCGAUAAGUAAUGUGAAUUGCAGAAUUCAGUGAAUCAUCGAAUCUUUGAACGCACAUUGCGCCCGCCAGUAUUCUGGCGGGCAUGCCUGUUCGAGCGUCAUUUCAACCCUCAAGCACAGCUUGGUGUUGGGACUCGCGUUAAUUCGCGUUCCCCAAAUUGAUUGGCGGUCACGUCGAGCUUCCAUAGCGUAGUAGUAAAACCCUCGUUACUGGUAAUCGUCGCGGCCACGCCGUUAAACCCCAACUUCUGAAUGUUGACCACGGAUCAGGUAGGAAUACCCGCUGAACUUAAGCAUAUCAAUAAGCGGAGGA
rnacentral:misc_RNA from 1 species